rnacentral:RNase_P_RNA from 1 species
AGGAGACCGCGGACGGCCGACGGUGACCUUUCGGGGUCGCUGAGGAACGUCCCCCCUCCAAACCAAGGUGGCCCCGCGCAAGCGGGGGACCCGAGAGGGUCGGCAAGGGCGCAGAAACGACACAGCCCGCGUCGAGGAUGAUCCGCUCGGCGGUGACGUUGGCGCGGGAUUUGGUGAGACGGCGACCCCCCAUCGGAGCAAGUCCAAAUCGGCGCGCUUGCGCCAGGUAGGACGCUCAGUCCAAUGCCGUCAGAACAGAAGGGGGCGUACGGCGGUCACCU